AGGUUGAAGUUCAGGUAACACUGAAUGGAGGACCGAACCGACUUACGUUGAAAAGUGAGCGGAUGAACUGAGGGUAGCGGAGAAAUUCCAAUCGAACUUGGAGAUAGCUGGUUCUCUCCGAAAUAGCUUUAGGGCUAGCCUCAAGUGAUGAUUAUUGGAGGUAGAGCACUGUUUGGACGAGGGGCCCUUCUCGGGUUACCGAAUUCAGACAAACUCCGAAUGCCAAUCAAUUUAACUUGGGAGUCAGAACAUGGGUGAUAAGGUCCGUGUUCGAAAGGGAAACAGCCCAGACCACCAGCUAAGGUCCCAAAAUAUAUGUUAAGUGGAAAAGGAUGUGGCGUUGCCCAGACAACUAGGAUGUUGGCUUAGAAGCAGCCAUCAUUUAAAGAGUGC
rnacentral:rRNA from 1 species